rnacentral:misc_RNA from 1 species
CUCAAAUUUGUUUUAAGCCAGAUAUCAGCUUCUCUGGAAUUCAAGAGAGAGAACAAAAAGGAGCAAAAAAUGGGUAUGAGACUAGUGUCUCAGGUCAAUUUCAGUUUGGCAAUAUUGCUAACUAUGCAGUUGGCAAUAGCAGCAGCACCCAUGGCGAAGCCCAACUGCACAGAUCAUUGCGGAAGUAUUAGCAUUCCAUACCCAUUUGGAAUUGGUAAGGAUUGUUAUAUGGAGGACUGGUUUGAGAUUGAGUGCGACAACACAAUUAAUCCUCCUAGACCAUUAUUAAGUCGCUUCAACAUGGAAGUGUUCCGUAUUGAUCUUGGUAGCAGCGCAGUUGAAGUCGAAAGUCCAAUAAUAUCCUCCAAUUGUUCAGGCAGGGAAGACGGUAUGCCUGUGAAUUUGACCGGAAGUCCUUUCCUUUUGUCCGACGAGAAUGUGUUCACUGCAACAGGCUGCAACACUCGUGCUUUAGUCACCUAUAAUUCGCCCCAACUGGUUGGUUGCGAUUCAACCUGCCUUGGCGAGCAGAAUGAUGUUGAUUGGCGAGAAAUGCUUCCUAAAAUCAUGAGAAAAGGUUCCGAUGGAAAUUGGCUACGGGAGUAUUGUAGUGGAUACAAUUGCUGCCAAACGAUAAUACCUUCAUUGGUUCAGGUUUUCAAUCCAAUUUUACAGGAUAAAGAAGGGAAUCAAAACAAAGGUGGUUGCAAGUUGGCAUUUAUAGCAGGCGGAGCAGGAACCAUUUUCCAGAGAAACAAGGAUCCAUAUGUGCAGUUUCCAAUGCUGAUAGAUUGGAUGAUCAACUCCAGCCGAAAGAAAGAUGUUGACUGGGAAACCGUGAAUUGCUUUAAUUACUCUGAUAAUUCUUUCAAUGAGCCCGUGUUCCGUUGUUCUUGCAAGAAUGGGUAUGAGGGCAAUCCUUACCUUAGAUGCACAGAUAUUGAUGAAUGCA